AAGACCUGAGGAAACCUCGCCCACCGCACAGACCGCAACGCCGCAAGGCGUAGGGCGAGAGCCUUGGCUCCAGAACAGAAACGGAACGUCCACCCGGAUCUGUUACGUUGAGGCGUGCUAAGUCGCCGAGUAGAACGGGUGGAAACGGUGAAACGGUUGUCCUGCGGGGGGAAAGGGCGAAUAGACGUCAAUGAGUCUCUGUGUGAGACGCGGGUAGCCCGUAUAGUCAAAUGCCGUCUAAACAGAAGGCGGGUUACGAUCAGCACAC
rnacentral:RNase_P_RNA from 1 species